AACCUGGUUGAUCCUGCCAGUAGUCAUAUGCUUGUCUCAAAGACUAAGCCAUGCAUGUCUAAGUAUAAAUGCUAUACAAUGAAACUGCGAAUGGCUCAUUAAAACAGUUAUAGUUUAUUUGGUAAUCGAAUUUACAUGGAUAACCGUGGUAAUUCUAGAGCUAAUACAUGCUAUUAAGCCUGACUUCUUGAAAGGCCGUAUUUAUUAGAUAACAGACCAAUAUUCCUCGUGUCUAUUGUGGUGAAUCAUAGUAACUUUUCGGAUCGCAUGGGUUUUGCCCGCGACAAACCAUU
rnacentral:rRNA from 1 species